CCAUGACAAGUAUAUAUAGUCAUCAUUGUAGAGCAGGAAGUAACCUCAUCUGAGAGAAACUGAGCUCUGGAAUGUUAGGUAACUCUCUCAAGGCCAUGAUAGUGGCGAGAGGCAGAGCCAGACUACAAUCUCCGCGUCCCGGCCGAGGCUUAGAGUAUUAGCCGUUGUUCCAGCAGCAUUUCCUCGAUGACAGGAGGGAAAUGCUAGAGCUUCUUUUUAGUUCUGGGAUCUGAUCCUUCUUGGGUCUGAACAUCUUUCACAACGCCAGCCAUCGGCUUAUAGAGGAGAUUGCUGAUUGUCUCCAAAAUCCAUUCUCUAAUUCUUCAGUAAUAAAAUGUCAAAUGUUACCAAGGCCCAUGGUUGCUCUGCCUCAUUCCCCAGUAUACCUGACAGUGAACUCAUGUCUGAGGACUGGUCAGCAGGAUUGACUGAAACGCUGAACCAAGCUUGGAGCUGGAGCAGCCAUUUUGGGCCACGAGGUAGAAGCCAUGUGUUGAAGAGAAUGGAACAAGAUGGAAGAAACCUGGUGAUCAGGGAGCCGCCAUAACAGUCUUGGGUUGUCUCUGUUUACAUGAGAGGUAAAUAAAUUAUUAUUAUUAUUAUUAUUAUUUUGAGAUGCAGUAUCGCUCUGUCACCCAGGCUGGAGUGCAGUGGCACGAUCUCAGCUCACUACAACCUCCACCUAAGCAAUUCGCUUGCCUCAGC
rnacentral:lncRNA from 10 species